rnacentral:rRNA from 1 species
UACGUAGGAUGCAAGCGUUGUUCGGAAUUACUGGGCGUAAAGAGUACGUAGGCGGUCUGGCAAGUCUGACAUUAAAGACCGGAGCUCAACUCCGGGACUGUAUCGGAAACUGCCAAACUAGAGGACAAUAGAGGAAGUCGGAAUUCUCAGUGUAGCGGUGAAAUGCGUAGAUAUUGGGAAGAACACCAGUGGCGAAAGCGGACUUCUGGGUUGUUACUGACGCUGAGGUACGAAAGCGUGGGGAGCAAACGGG